GCGCGCCGCGUGAGCAGGGAGCGCCGCCCCCACGAGCACAGAGCGCACCCCGAGCGCGGCCGCGGACGAAGAUGGCGACCGCCAUGUACUUGGAGCACUACCUGGACAGUAUCGAGAACCUUCCGUGUGAACUUCAGAGGAACUUCCAGCUGAUGCGCGAGCUGGACCAGAGGACAGAAGAUAAGAAGGCCGAGAUCGACGUCCUGGCUGCGGAGUACAUCUCCAGGGUGAAGACCCUGUCCCCAGACCAGCGGGUGGAGCACCUGCAGAAGAUCCAGAGCGCCUACAGCAAGUGCAAGGAGUACAGCGACGACAAGGUGCAGCUGGCCAUGCAGACCUACGAGAUGGUGGACAAGCACAUCCGCAGGCUGGACGCGGACCUGGCGCGCUUCGAGGCCGACCUGAAGGACAAGAUGGAGGGCAGCGACUUCGAGGGCUCCGGGGGGCGCGGGCUGAAAAAAGGUCGGGGUCAGAAAGAAAAAAGAGCGUCCCGCGGCCGAGGCAGGAGGGCGUCGGAGGAGGACACUCCAAAGAAAAAGAAGCACAAAGCAGGGUCGGAGUUCACCGAAACCAUCCUGUCUGUGCACCCGUCCGACGUGCUGGACAUGCCUGUGGACCCCAACGAGCCCACGUACUGCCUGUGCCACCAGGUCUCCUACGGGGAGAUGAUCGGCUGUGACAACCCGGACUGUCCGAUCGAGUGGUUUCACUUUGCCUGUGUGGACCUUACCACGAAGCCCAAAGGAAAAUGGAGCAGCUGCUGUUGUCCAGGACUGUUGAGGAGCAGCCUGUGUCCGAGGCUCCAGAACGUGCUCGGCCCAGAAUCGUCAGGGAGCCCUUGUGAAACACGCAGGUUCCACAGCCAGCGCGGGGCUGCCGGGGCCUGGGGUCUGUCGGCCCGCCCGGCCCACCCCACCCGACCCCACGGACUCCAGCCACGGUUCUGUCCGCGGUGCGUCCAGGAGAAGCGGAAGAAGAAGUAAGGAGAAGCCGCGUGCGGUCAGAAGAGAAGCCGAUAGGUCCCUCAUUCGCGUUGCAAUAUUUUCUCCAUUUCAAAGCUACCUUGUGUGAUGGACCUCCCACCGAGUGCAGCAGGUGCUGAGCCAGCCUGCGGGGAUGCGGCGCCAGGCGCAGCCUCGGCACAGUGGAGACUUUUUAACCCGGUACACUGCCACCCCUUCGCAGCUGGCGCGGUCAGCGCGUGCAGUCUGUGAGUAGUUUCCCAGGACCGUUCUGUGCAGCUCGGGGCUCCGCGUACCCUGACGCCGCCGUAAGCACACCUGUCACUCACAUGCGUGGGGGCCGGUGCCUCAGUUGCUGGGCGGCCCCCGCGUGCCCAGCUCUGAUGCCGAUGCUGGCGACCCUGGACCCUGGUGAGGACAGCUCCGACGUGCCUGGGGAGGGCUGGGGGCUCCUCUCGGGAGCAGGUGGCCUCAGCCUCACCGUGCACUGCCUUUCCAGCUCGGACUCCGGUCCUGCCGUGGGGGGUCACCUUCCAGAGGAAACGGCUCUUCAUUAGCAAACGGCUGUCAGUGACCACGACCAGCACCAAUAAGAGACGCGUGACAGCCGGGCUGACGUCCCGUUGCUCUGGGAAUUCCUGACGUUUUUACUGUGAAGAUGAGAUUAUUGUGAUUGCAUGACGAUUGUGGGUCUGUGUGUCCGUGACGUGAGUCCGGUCCCGUGGGAGCUGACUGUCCAGGAGGGCCGUGGCGCGACGCGGUUUGUGAAUUUGUCGUGCCGCAGUAGUGCUUCUGCAGUGCAGUUAAGGAACUAGAGUGUACUUUCUGUUUAAUCAGCAUUCACCAAACGAUUUUGAAUCAUCUUUUUGGUAGUAAGUGGGUACAGUGCAUACAUGGAUCUGGGAUACAUGUGUGUGACAGCGUCCUGAGACCCCCAAAUCCUCCGGCCUGCGUGUGGAGGAGGUAGGGGAUCCCUCAGAGUCUGUCCUCACACCAGAAGAGGAAACCCGUGAGAGAACAGAGGCGUGAAAUUCCCAGUUUAGGAAAAGUCGUUUUUACGCUGUGGGCCUUCUGGCAUGGUGGGCUGGUCCUUCUGACAGCCACACUCGUCUUCCCUCCCAUUCCCUAGCGUUUCGCCAGGACGGGAAACAGCGCGGAGGGGAACUUGUGAAGCGCUGGGAUCUGGGCCACUUCCCGCCAGAGCACGUCAGAGGACAGGCACGGCCGGGACGGCCAGACCCGAUGCCCAGCAGGUCUCCGGCCACACGGGCUGCCUGCCCUUCCUGGCGUGAGCGAGGGCUGGGCUUGCUCUUGGGCCUGCGGGGGUCAGUGGGCACGUGCAGGCCCCCCAGGCGGCCGGUGUGGGCAGGGCAGGUGGGUGCUCGGCAGCUGCUGCAGCUCAUGUCCCUGUGGGGUCCCAGGUGCCGUCCAGCCGCUCGGAAGGAGAAGGGAGGCCGGUUUCACCUCAGUCUCAGCUGUGGCUGUGAAACUAGUGACCUGGUUUAUUUCCUUUGUAAUAACAGCUUUUUAUUAACACGGGUGUUUGAAGAUUGUAGAGAAUAAAUUGUGGAAAAAUUUUUUUCUUCACUCUUUCACCAUUUUUUGUGGAGAGGGAUCGGUAAGUAUGGACAGCUUGUGCCGGGCAGAGCCUGAGCCUUCUGUAGGAGCUGAUUUAACAUUCGCGCUUCGCCUCGGGAUGGUCCACACGCGCGGUGGGCGCGGGGGAGAGGUGCAUUUGUUGGUGUGGUCGGCCUCGAUGCCCGGGAGGGACACUGGCCUCGCGGGAGCGCGUUUGACCUGCUUGUCACCGUCAGCGCCCCUGUGGCUUCUGGCCUCGUUUCGAAGUUUCUGUGCUUACCUGUUUUUAGUGUUUACUUUUGCCGUUUAGAAUCAUAUCUCCAAAAUAAUGUGCAUACAGCUUUGGAAUACACACGGAAACGUGAGCAGAGUAGGAGGAGUCCUCGGGAUGCUGUUUGGACGCUGCCUGAGUGCCUUUCUCCACUGCUGGCCCGUCUGCGAGGGGGGACACUCGGGAAUGGCCGUCUGGGUGGAAGAGAAGGUCCUGCCCCCGGCCUGCCCUGGCCCCGCGCAGGGACGGCUGGAAUGGUGCUGCUUGCACUGUCCCCGCGUCGCCCCCGUGGUUCGGGGGUUUAGUCUUGGGCCAGGGCCCCCUCCACGCCUGCCUGGCUCCAGACCUGGCCUUGGAGGUGGCUGUGGAGCCAGCCCUGUCUGUCUCCUGGGUUGAGGGGUCUGGGCUGGACCCAGUGGGUGGCUCUGGCAGCUUUACCUGAGCCAGGGACGUGGCUCCUCCCUCCGGGGCCGUGGGUUUACCUGUGAGGGAAGGAGUGUUUUGCAUGGAGGGGAAGCAGAGUCCCCUUCCUUGUUCUUAGUGCUGUGUCAGAGUAGCGAGGUGAAGAAGUCCCCUAGUUUCCCUCUAGGACAAGGCAUGCUGCAUUUUAAAAAAAGGUUUGUUAACGGAGUCCCUCAGAUCUGUGAAUGUGCUGCCGCUGCUGCCUGGGACGGACACGAGCCGAGGUCCGCGGGAGGUUGCGCAGCGGCUGGCCGUCUGCCUGUGUGGUCAGGCCCCUCGGGCGGGCAUUCCUGAGAGCAGCGUGGCCAGGGCCGUGGGGGCCGGGUGUCUUCCAGCAGGCCUGGGGCAGCCAGGAGCAGCUGUGUGGGCCAGUGGUGGCGGGAGGGCUUGUCGGGAUGGAUGGGGACAGCGGCCAGCUCUGUGUCACUCCCGUCCCAGCAGCCGCGCUGCGCUUGGCCUCCUGACCUGACCGGGAGAGCCCGCAGCAGGGCCUGCUCUGAGCAACAACUGUCCCAGAGCAUUUUCCCCACAGCCACAGAGCCAGGAGGCUGCCCUGUCGUGGGACUGGGAGGUCAGGUCUCCGCGGGUCACAGUACCACCACGAGGGACAUUUAUACGGGCAUUGAAGAUUUAAGGUUUUCCUAAAUUUUUAGCGGACAGUGGCUGGUCUUCAUUAGCUGUGCUAAGAGGAAUUUUAAAAUGGGGGAAGUGUAAGAAAAGUGUUCUCAUUCAGGAGAGAGUUUUAUGAAGUUUCUUUCUCCCUAUGUAUGUAUUCUGUGGUGUUCACCUUUAACCACAUUUCAUCCAAAAAGAUGAGCAGCUUUAACAUGAAUGUUACGUUUUAUUUCCAAGGAAUUGUCUAUGUUCCCUUUGUAAAGGAAAGAUAAUAUUGUAAAUCUUUUUAUUAAAUAAUGUAAAGAUGUAUAUCUGUAUUUUUGGAUCAUGUUACAGAUUAUGGAUAUAUUGUUUAAUAAAUAAAGUAUUUUUUGGAAUAAAC